CAACUUUUAACAAUGGAUCUCUUGGUUCUCGCAUCGAUGAAGAACGUAGCAAAGUGCGAUAACUAGUGUGAAUUGCAUAUUCGUGAAUCAUCGAGUCUUUGAACGCAGCUUGCACUCUAUGGAUCUUCUGUAGAGUACGCUUGCUUCAGUAUCAUA
rnacentral:rRNA from 1 species